rnacentral:rRNA from 1 species
CCUACGGGGGGCAGCAGUAGGGAAUUUUGCGCAAUGGGGGAAACCCUGACGCAGCAACGCCGCGUGAUCGAUGAAGCCCUUCGGGGUGUAAAGAUCUGUCAGUGGGGACGAAACCUGACGGUACCUGCAAAGGAAGCACCGGCUAACUCCGUGCCAGCAGCCGCGGUAAUACGGAGGGUGCGAGCGUUAAUCGGAAUUACUGGGCGUAAAGCGCUCGUAGGCGGUAUGUCAAGUCAAGGGUGAAAUCCCCGCGCUCAACGUGGGAACUGCCUUUGAAACUGGCAAACUGGAGUGUGUGAGAGGAUAGUGGAAUUCCAGGUGUAGGAGUGAAAUCCGUAGAUAUCUGGAGGAACAUCAGUGGCGAAGGCGACUAUCUGGCACAUAACUGACGCUGAGGAGCGAAAGCGUGGGUAGCAAACAGGAUUAGAUACCCCUGUAGUC